UGACCAGCCAAACCAUCUCGGUCAAAACGUCUCGAUUGAAAAGCAACUUGUAUGGCUUACUUGGGCAUUAAACAAGCCUCCAUCUACUCUAUGUAAGGCCAGGCCAUAGGACAACAAGCCUCCGUUCUCCUGACAGUCUUGGCCAGUAAUUCUCGCUGUUUUGCCUGCAGAAAGGAGAGGGAAGAUAGCGGUGUCCUACCCGCUGGGACUAAGGUAGCCCAUUCUCUUAAAAAAACAAAAAGAAAAGAAAAAGAAAAGACCCUUUUACUUCGCCUAGGGUUUCUUCUAUCCUUAGCGGCUCUCUUACCACUUUUCGUCCUUUCUCAGCUGUCUCUUAGAUGAGGAGUCUGUGCCUGAAGAACUACACGGGUAGCUGCAUCAAGCCAUUCAUGGAUCGGGAGGAAAUUCCCCUACCGCUUUUUGUCCUGGCAGCCUUGGGUUUGAUUAUUACGGUUUCAUCAGUGGCGAAAUGAAAACACCCCGUUGAUCUAGGCUUCCUGGCCCAUGAUUCACUUGUAUGGGUGAUUGGGAGAGAUGGAGGUGGAAUGUGGAGGGCGCAUCCUCAACGAAAUCCUCUCUCUGCCUCAGUGGGCGGAUUGUUCUUCUUGGAC
rnacentral:sRNA from 1 species